CUACGGGCGGCUGCAGUGGGGAAUAUUGGACAUUGGGCGCAAGCCUGAUCCAGCAAUGCCGCGUGAGUGAAGACGGCCUUAGGGUUGUAAAACUCUUUCGCUAGGGAAGAUAAUGACUGUACCUAGUAAAGAAGUCCCGGCUAACUCCGUGCCAGCAGCCGCUGUAAUACGGAGGGGACUAGCGUUGUUCGGAAUUACUGGGCGUAAAGAGUUCGUAGGCGGACUGACAAGUUAGAGGUGAAAUCCCAGGGCUCAACCCUGGAACUGCCUUUAAAACUGUCAGUCUAGAGACCGGAAGAGGUUAGGGGAAUACCUAGUGUAGAGGUGAAAUUCGUAGAUAUUAGGUGGAACACCAGUGGCGAAGGCGCCUAACUGGUCCGGUACUGACGCUGAGGAACGAAAGCGUGGGGAGCAAACAGGAUUAGAUACCCUGGUAGUC
rnacentral:rRNA from 1 species